rnacentral:rRNA from 1 species
GAUGAACGCUGGCGGCGUGCUUAACACAUGCAGGUCGAACGAUGAAGCCCAGCUUGCUGGGUGGAUUAGUGGCGAACGGGUGAGUAACACGUGAGUAACCUGCCCUUAACUCUGGGAUAAGCCUGGGAAACUGGGUCUAAUACCGGAUAGGAGCGUCCACCGCAUGGUGGGUGUUGGAAAGAUUUAUCGGUUUUGGAUGGACUCGCGGCCUAUCAGCUUGUUGGUGAGGUAAUGGCUCACCAAGGCGACGACGGGUAGCCGGCCUGAGAGGGUGACCGGCCACACUGGGACUGAGACACGGACCAGACUCCUACGGGAGGCAGCAGUGGGGAAUAUUGCACAAUGGGCGCAAGCCUGAUGCAGCGACGCCGCGUGAGGGAUGACGGCCUUCGGGUUGUAAACCUCUUUCAGUAGGGAAGAAGCGAAAGUGACGGUACCUGCAGAAGAAGCACCGGCUAACUACGUG